rnacentral:rRNA from 1 species
AGACCUGCCCCUUCCUUCUGGAUAACGCAUGAAGUGUGGCUAUACGGGAUAUUCUGGGUCUGUCGCAUGAUGGGUCUGGGAAAGAUUGCGCUUUUGGGUGGUUUUUGGUUGGGGGAUGGGCUCGCGGCCUGUCAGCUUGUUGGUGGGGUGAUGGCCUACCAAGGCGGUGACGGGUAGCCGGCCUGAGAGGGUGGACGGUCACACUGGGACUGAGACACGGCCCAG